rnacentral:lncRNA from 1 species
GAGGAGGAGCUCAGUCAAAUUUUAUAUGAGGGGAGACCAAGUUUGAUCUUGCCGAGAGAUCCUCGUUCUGUAAACCCCGGCCCAGAACAAUCCCAGGGGCCUUAACUACAGACUCUAAUUGGGCGCAUCAGCAUCACGAGUAGGACUCAACUACUUGUGGACCAAGGUGACACUUAGGAAUCCCAAGAAGCUCCAGCCAUAAAGGGAGUCGGUAUCCUUCCUCCAAUUGUAAACCCCAGCACUCCCACUGAACACACUGGCCAUGCCAAAAGUUCACACAUCGGCCACGCAAAGAGCUCAAAGAGAUCCAUUCAGUACCUGGGAAGGCACGAUCACUACGGGGAGAAUCAGAAACCACGCGAUCGCCAGGUGGCCUUCAAAGAAGCCUCCUCCCAGAAGGUCCAGAAUCCCAUCCAGAGACAUUUCUGUCACUCUUCUCAAGCCACCUCAUCAUCUCUCUCUGCAGUUGAACUGCUGAUGUUUCUGAGAUUGUGGGUUUGUUCAAAAUGAAGCUUGGCAGAAUCAUAAUUUAUAGGCUAAUAUUUUGUAAGUAGAGACAAUUCAUGACUUAGAAUCUUAUGAAUAAAUUGCUCCUGUUUUAUUGCUCUGUGUGUGUGUGUGUGUGGGUGUGGGUGUGGGUGUGGGUGUGUGUGCAUAUAACUUUUCUUUUUCCACGUUUACCUCUUGAGUGGGCCCAUUAAACUGAGAAGUACUGCGUGAGGUCUUGAGAUAGCACAAGCCUUCGCCACCCCUGUAAAGGUGUGACGUGUGUCUAGGCAAAACCCUGGCAGGUCUCCAGGCGGUCCUUCUGAGUUAGGGCUCUGAACACUCUCUCUUAAAGCCCUGAGCUAUGAACACAGCUUUGAACGGGACAGAGAAAGACCAAGUCAGAGGGGGAGCAGCUGUGUCUUUCUCCUCUCUGCUUCAUUAUAGACAAAAUUGACCUCUGGG